UGUCUCAGGCCAUACCAGUCUGAAGGUGCCUGAUCUCGUUCAGAUUUCAGAAGCUAUCCAGACUCGGGCCUGGUUAGUACUUGUAUGGGAUACCAACUAGGAAACUCAGGUGCUGUUUUUU